GUGGCGAACGGGUGAGUAAUGCAUCGGAACGUGCCCAGUAGUGGGGGAUAACCGCUCGAAAGAGUGGCUAAUACCGCAUAUUCUCUACGGAGGAAAGGGGGGGAUCUUCGGACCUCCCGCUGUUGGAGCGGCCGAUGUCGGAUUAGCUAGUUGGUGGGGUAAUGGCUCACCAAGGUUACGAUCCGUAGCUGGUCUGAGAGGAUGACCAGCCACACUGGGACUGAGACACGGCCCAGACUCCUACGGGAGGCAGCAGUGGGGAAUCUUGGACAAUGGGGGGAACCCUGAUCCAGCAAUCCCGCGUGUGUGAUGAAGGCCUUCGGGUUGUAAAGCACUUUUUGCAGGGAAGAAAUAGCCCGGGUGAAUAAUCCGGGUGACUGACGGUACCUGCGGAAUAAGCACCGGCUAACUACGUGCCAGCAGCCGCGGUAAUACGUAGGGUGCAAGCGUUAAUCGGAAUUACUGGGCGUAAAGGGUACGCAGGCGGCCAGGCAAAAAGGGUGUGAAAUCCCUGG
rnacentral:rRNA from 1 species